rnacentral:rRNA from 1 species
UACAGAGACUGCAAGCGUUAUUCGGAUUCACUGGGCGUAAAGGGUGCGCAGGCGGUUGGGUGUGUCAGAUGUGAAAUCCCGAGGCUUAACCUCGGAACUGCGUCUGAAACUACUCGACUAGAGUACUGGAGAGGGAAACGGAAUUCACGGUGUAGCAGUGAAAUGCGUAGAUAUCGUGAGGAACACCAGAGGCGAAGGCGGUUUCCUGGACAGUUACUGACGCUCAGGCACGAAAGCAUGGGGAGCAAAAGGGAUUAGAAACCCCAGUAGUCC